rnacentral:lncRNA from 1 species
CUGUCCCCAAACACCCACUGCCAAUGAGUCCACAGGGCCGCAUUGGCUGUGACCUCAAAGGAACCGAGGAAGAUGCCACCCUGGCCUGGGUGAAACUGUGUGUGAUGACAGGGUAAAAUGAGGAGAUUGAAGUUCAUGAUCUUCCCAAACUUCUGUCUCUCUUUAAGGGAUUCCGUUGUUGGAGCCACAAGGACCCUUAGGAAAACUACUCAGAGCCAGCUGGUCCCUGCCAUCACUGAAACCCAAAGGGAGGAGCUCCACGGGUGAUGAACUGCUC